UACGAAGGGGGGCUAGCGUUGCUCGGAAUCACUGGGCGUAAAGGGUGCGUAGGCGGGUCUUUUAAGUCAGGGGUGAAAUCCUGGAGCUCAACUCCAGAACUGCCUUUGAUACUGAAGAUCUUGAGUUCGGGAGAGGUGAGUGGAACUGCGAGUGUAGAGGUGAAAUUCGUAGAUAUUCGCAAGAACACCAGUGGCGAAGGCGGCUCACUGGCCCGAUACUGACGCUGAGGCACGAAAAGCGUGGGGGAGCGAACAGG
rnacentral:rRNA from 1 species